rnacentral:rRNA from 1 species
GCAUAUCAAUAAGCGGAGGAAAAAGAAACCAAACAGGGGAUUGCCCCUAGUAACGGCGAGUGAAAGAAGGCAACAGCUCAAAUUUUGAAAUCUGGCCCUCUGGGCCCGAGUUGUAAUUUGUAAGAGGGCGCUUUGGGUGUUGGCCCCGGCCUAAGUUCCUUGGGAACAGGACGUCACAGAGGGUGAGAACCCCCGUACGUGGCCGGCGGGCCUUCGCUGUGUAAAGCCCCUUCGACGAGUCGAGUUGUUUGGGAAUGCAGCUCUAAAUGGGAGGUAAAUUUCUUCUAAAGCUAAAUACUGGCCAGAGACCGAUAGCGCACAAGUAGAGUGAUCGAAAGAUGAAAAGCACUUUGGAAAGAGAGUCAAAAAGCACGUGAAAUUGUUGAAAGGGAAGCGCUUGCAGCCAGACUUGCCUGUAGUUGCUCACCUGGGGCUCUUGCCCAGCGCACUCUUCUGCGGGCAGGCCAGCAUCAGUUCAAGCGGUCGGACAAAAGCCCUAGGAAUGUGGCUCCUUCCGGGGAGUGUUAUAGCCUAGGGCAUAAUGCGGCCAGCUUGGACUGAGGUCCGCGCAUUUGCUAGGAUGCUGGCGUAAUGGUUGUAAGCGGCCCGUCUUGAAACACGGACCAAGGAGUCUAACAUCUAUGCGAGUGUUUGGGUGUCAAGCCCGAGCGCGAAAUGAAAGUGAACGGAGGUGGGAACCCCCCCGGGGCGCACCAUCGACCGAUCCUGAUGUCUUCGGAUGGAUUUGAGUAAGAGCAUAGCUGUUGGGACCCGAAAGAUGGUGAACUAUGCCUGAAUAGGGUGAAGCCAGAGGAAACUCUGGUGGAGGCUCGCAGCGGUUCUGACGUGCAAAUCGAUCGUCAAAUUUGGGCAUAGGGGCGAAAGACUAAUCGAACUAUCUAGUAGCUGGCUCUGGCGGAG